UUAAAAUAAUGUCUGUGAGUAUAACAAAACUGAUAAGGCAGGCGAAAACCCGAGGAAAAUCCAUCCAGGAAGUACUAUUAUUUUGAAAGGCUGUUUUUCCAUUGAAAGCCUAUCCACCAUACAAAGACUUAGGACCCAAUUCACGAUCUCUAUGUCUUCUUCUACAUGUGGCCAGUCUUUAGGCGUUGUUUCAGGCUUUUACUCUGAAAAAUGAGGGAGAUACAGCACUUUCAAUGAGUGGACAGUGGAAAUUUCCAGACAUGAGCCCAGCACGUGAUUGGGAGCGGGCAUUUGUUGUUUCUCCUUUUCUAUUGACGAAGCUUUUGUCCGGAUGAAAUAUUAUUGAUUAUUUAUGACAAAAACAACCUGAGGAUUGAUUUUAAACAUCGUUUGACAUGUUUCUAUGAACUUUUAUUGUACUUUUUUUCCUUUCGUCUUUGUACCUUUGGAUUACUGAACUAAACACACCAACAAAACUGAGGUUUUUGGACAUAAAGAGGGACAUUAUCAAACAGAACUAACAUUUAUUGUGUAACAUGGAGCCCUGGGAGUGCCACCAGAUGAAGAUCAUUAAAGGUAAGUGAUUCAUUUAAUCGCUAUUUCUGACUUUUGUGAGUCCUCCUUGGCUGGAAAAUGUCUGUAUGGUGUUUUGUGGCUACGUGCUGUCCUAACAUAAUCGCAUGGUGUAAUUUCGCUGUAAAGCCUUUUUGAAAUCUGACACAGUGGCUGGAUUAACAAGACAUUUAUCUUUAAUCCUAUGUAUAACACUUGUAUCUUGCAUCAAUUUUUAUGAUGAGUAUUUCUGUAAUUAGAUUUGGCUCUCUGCAAUUCCACCGGAUGUUAUUUGAGACAAUGCAUUACUGACCAUAACGCGCCAAUUGAAGUCGAACACUGUGGUUGGAUUAACAAGAAGAUUAUCUUUAAAAUGGUGUAUAAUGGUGUACAAUACUUUUAAUUAUGGGAUUUCUGUUGUUUGAAUUUGGCGCCCUGCAAUUUCACUGGCUGUCGUCGAGGUGGGACGCUAGCGUCCCAAUGAUACCAGAGAGGUUAAAGUCCCCAGGCUACUAGGAGCCUGCCUCUGGGUGAGCAUUUUCUUGUUUUCUUAAGGUGGAAUACAGCUCAUUCAAUGCUGUCUUAGUGCCAGCUUCAGUCUGCGGUGGUACGUAAACAGCUACGAAAAAUACAGAUGAAAACUCUCUAGGUAGAUACAGCUUAUCAUGAGAUACUCUACCUCAGGCGAGUAAUAGCUUGAGACUUUCUUAGAUAUCGUGCACCAGCUGUUAUUUACAAAAAUACAUAGCCCGCCACCCCUUGUCUUACCAGAUGCCGCUGUUCUAUCCUGCCGGUACAGCGUAUAACCAGCCAGCUGUAUGUUGAUAGUGUCGUCGUUCAGCCACGACUCCGUGAAGCAUAACAUAUUACAGUUUUGAAUGUCCCGUUGGUAGUUUAAUCUUGCGCGUAGGUUAUCUAUUUUAUUCUACAAAGAUUGCACGUUUGCUAGCAGAAUGGAAGGAAGUGAGAAUUUAUUCGAUCACCUACGAAUUCUCAGAAGGCAGCCCGCCCUUUGGCCCCUUUUUCUCCGCCUCCUCUUCACGCAAAUCACCGGGAUCUGGGCCUGUUCCCGAGAAAGCAGUAUAUUUUUUGUCGCAUCGGGCUCGUCAGACUCGUUAAAGGGAACAAAGGAUUCUGCCAGUCCGUGGAGCACCAUAUUCAUUCAUGGUUUUCUUCCUGAGAGUCUGGCCCACACAUCUCUCUCAACCUCUACGUGGCGGGAUGUCACACGCUGUGGGGGUGGAAUCAUCUCAAGGACUUCAUCAAACUGAUACCAGUCUCGUCUCGAGAAGGCCAGAAAAAUCUGUUUGGUCCUACACGAUGCAUACAUUUCACUUGUACACUCAUUUCAUCCAUGCCCAGGAGGAUGCCUGGAUAAAGGUCAUCAUCAUAUUCCACUACACACCAUUGUCCAAGAUGACCUGGAUUUCCCCACUGGAUUUCAUCCACAGUUUGUGGAUCUUCCUCAUUGGCUGGCUGUUCUGGAGCAGCCUGAAACUGAAGUGCUGUGUGUUAAAGCAUGUACAGUUUAGGUCCUUCUUUGUUGAACAAAGGCAGCUGCCAUCACGAGACAUCAGCUGACCAGGAGCAAGGGUGAUGACCUGGUGUAUUCUCAUGGUGGAGGGUACCGUUUUUAUCGAGCUUGGCAUCAUCUCAAUCUCACAUGCUCCUUUCCUCUCCUUGCUGCUUUUGUAUGCUGUUCUCCACUGUUUACGCUUCUGACGCUGAUCUCUCACUUUAAUCACUGAUCUUUUUCUCUUUCCCUGCCUCAACAUUUCUUUUCCAUCUGACGCUCUCUCUCAAUGUAUUGUUCCCUUUUUUCUGUGUCAGCAUUUUGACGUGCUCAACGCUAGCUUUGUCUUUCUGCUGCUGAUGGUACCAUCAUUCGCUAGAUGUUUCAAUGGAUAACGUUAAAUCAAAGAUUCUUAGAAAAUGUACAUGUAUACACUAUAAUCCUUGAGCAAUUUAGGAUCUAGAGCAAAUUAAAGGAACAACUGAAGUUAGGAGCCUUGCCCACUAGGCUAUCUGCUUUAAAAUAUAUUUUUUGUUCACAUGGAACACAUUACAGCAUGUUUCAUAAGUGAAUAUUAACAAUAUAUAAUGUAUAAUAUGUUGAAUAAUUCAUUUGUUUAGAUGCAAUAUUUAUAAAUAAAGUAAAUAACUCAACCCUGUCACAGGUUUACAACCCUGUUACUAUAUGUGACAGGGUUGAGUUUUUUGGCUCAAAAUGGCCACUGCUCCUCAUAUGGUGAAGGACAGGAGACCACAUGGUGUGCAUGAAAUUCAUAGAUUGUAUAUUUUCAUGGGUUGAAGUAUAAUUUUGAUAAGUACUAGUUUUCCAUCUUUAUUUCAUGUAACAGGGUUGAGUUGGUCAGCUCGACAAUCCCCAC
rnacentral:lncRNA from 1 species